GUCUCAUUCAGACCAACCACAAUUGUUUUCUGAUCUCUAUCUUGCUCAGUUUCUCCAGCAUUACAUUAUUAUCAAAACAUUUUGGUGUUGAUUAAGCAGUAGAGAGGUUAAUCAGUGAAACAGCUUAGGCAUACAAUAUACAGAAGCAAAUUAAGCAUAAUAUCCUGGGGUGAUAAGUCCCAAGAUUUCCAUCACUGAGAGUCAUUGAAGCUCAAAGCAAGACAAAAACCAAGAUGACUGACAAUGAACUGAGUUGCAGUGGGUGACUUUGGUGUCUUUGAUGUCUGAGAGCUCCACAGCUCUUGCUUCAGUCAGUCACCUUCAUAACCCCGGCCAUUGGAACAGAUUGUUCUCAUCCCUCUGUUACACCAGUUUCUCCAGCAUUACAGAAGGAGCUAUUCCCCUAACACACUGGCUACCCUCAACCUGGUUUAACCAGUCUACCUGCCAAGAUGGUCUUAAAGUGCGGUCACUCUGCUACAGCUUCUUGGGGCCACAGAUUUCUGCACGGGAUUGUAAAUUCCCGAGACCCAGAAAAGGCCAAGAGAAGGGGGACAUUAUUGCGAUUCGGGACUAUAAAUUCUUGAACUUUCUACAACUCAGGCCGGUCUUUCUGGGACUUGUUCUGUAUCUCAGAGAGUCG
rnacentral:lncRNA from 1 species